rnacentral:rRNA from 1 species
GACGAACGCUGGCGGCGUGCUUAACACAUGCAAGUCGACCGGCAAGGCCCUGCUUUUGUGGGGUGCUCGCGUGGCGAACGGGUGAGUAACACGUGAGUAACCUGCCCUUGACUUUGGGAUAACUUCAGGCAUCUGGGGCUCAUACCGGAUAGGAGCUCCUGCUGCAUGGUGUGGGUUGGAAAGUUUCGGCGGUUGGGGAUGGACUCGCGGCUUAUCAGCUUGUUGGUGGGGUCGUGGCUUACCAAGGCUUUGACGGGUAGCCGGCCUGAGAGGGUGACCGGCCACAUUGGGACUGAGAGACGGCCCAGACUCCUACGGGAGGCAGCAGUGGAGAAUAUUGCACAAUAGGCGGAAGCCUGAUGCAGCAACGCCGCGGGCGGGAGGACGGCCUUCGGGUUGUAAACCGCUAUCGCCGGAGACGAAGCGUGAGUGACGGUAAUGGGUAAAAAAGCACCGGCUAACUACGUG